AGGAGCCAAUGUGGUGGUUCUGCCAG
rnacentral:piRNA from 1 species